rnacentral:rRNA from 1 species
GACGAACGCUGGCGGCGUGCUUAACACAUGCAAGUCGAACGGAAAGGCCUGCAGCUUGCUGCGGGUACUCGAGUGGCGAACGGGUGAGUAACACGUGGGUGAUCUGCCUUGCACUUCGGGAUAAGCUUGGGAAACUGGGUCUAAUACCGGAUAGGACAGCUGUUUAGUGUCAGUUGUGGAAAGUUUUUUUCGGUGCAAGAUGAGCUCGCGGCCUAUCAGCUUGUUGGUGGGGUAAUGGCCUACCAAGGCGUCGACGGGUAGCCGGCCUGAGAGGGUGUACGGCCACAUUGGGACUGAGAUACGGCCCAGACUCCUACGGGAGGCAGCAGUGGGGAAUAUUGCACAAUGGGCGGAAGCCUGAUGCAGCGACGCCGCGUGGGGGAUGAAGGCCUUCGGGUUGUAAACUCCUUUCGACAGGGACGAAGCUUUUGUGACGGUACCUGUAUAAGAAGCACCGGCUAACUACGUGCCAGCAGCCGCGGUAAUACGUAGGGUGCGAGCGUUGUCCGGAAUUACUGGGCGUAAAGAGCUCGUAGGUGGUUUGUCGCGUCGUCUGUGAAAUUCCGGGGCGUAACUCCGGGCGUGCAGGCGAUACGGGCUGACUUGAGUGCUGUAGGGGAGACUGGAAUUCCUGGUGUAGCGGUGAAAUGCGCAGAUAUCAGGAGGAACACCGAUGGCGAAGGCAGGUCUCUGGGCAGUAACUGACGCUGAGGAGCGAAAGCAUGGGUAGCGAACAGGAUUAGAUACCCUGGUAGUCCAUGCCGUAAACGGUGGGCGCUAGGUGUAGGGGGCUUCCACGUCUUCUGUGCCGUAGCUAACGCAUUAAGCGCCCCGCCUGGGGAGUACGGCCGCAAGGCUAAAACUCAAAGGAAUUGACGGGGGCCCGCGCAAGCGGUGGAGCAUGUGGUUUAAUUCGAAGCAACGCGAAGAACCUUACCAAAUCUUGACAUCCUUUGACAACUCUAGAGAUAGAGCCUUCCCCUUCGGGGGACAAAGUGACAGGUGGUGCAUGGUUGUCGUCAGCUCGUGUCGUGAGAUGUUGGGUUAAGUCCCGCAACGAGCGCAACCCUUAUAUCUAGUUGCCAGCAGUAAGAUGGGGACUCUAGAUAGACUGCCAGUGAUAAACUGGAGGAAGGUGGGGAUGACGUCAAAUCAUCAUGCCCCUUAUGACUUGGGCUACACACGUGCUACAAUGGAUAGGAACAAAGAGAAGCGAGCUCGCGAGAGUAAGCAAACCUCACAAAACUAUUCUCAGUUCGGAUUGUAGUCUGCAACUCGACUACAUGAAGCUGGAAUCGCUAGUAAUCGCGAAUCAGAAUGUCGCGGUGAAUACGUUCCCGGGUCU